GUUGGUGAUGAUCGUUCGUGGGUUUUAGUGUUUGAUCUUGUAUUUUCACCUUAUUUUGUGUUAUUGGGGGGUUAUGAGUCUUCCUCUCUGAGGCUGACGUAUUUGAGUUUAUCUCUGCAAUAUAUGGCUAUGUUGUCACAUUAAUCUAAUACAAACAAAUAUACAGGUGUGGAAACGAAUACGGCUGCUUGUCAUUGCAUAUUAUGAAUAUGUUGGACUGAUUAUCCAGUCAAUCUCUGUAAUUUUUGUCCAUGUGCGAUUACGGUGGGACCCCCGCUGCGAUCGUAGGUGGACCAUCUUGGGCCCUAUGUAGGAAUUCAUGUGAAGGAAUACCCAUAUGGUGGUGAUAGGAUUCAAGGCUAGUUUGGUUUAUUAGGGCUUCUUUAGGCCUAUACUAUGUACACGUAAUAGUUAUGAGCAUUAUGAUGAUUUGGAAUAAAAUUUCUUAGGAAUUGUUGGGCGCAUUUUGGGAU